CUAAAACCUAAAAAUUGCAGCCUUUUUCAAAUCCCAAUUUAAACAAGCUAAAAAUAUUUUAAUGAAUUAAUGUUCUUAUAUACCUGGGCUAACCGAGCAGCUGGUUUACACUGCUUGUUCUGCUUUACCCACAGCAAAAAAAGUAAAGAAAAAUGGAUGUGACUACAGGUUGUUCAAAACGAGCAAUUUUAAGAUUAAAAAUUAUACACACUAUUCCAAUUUUUAUUUAAUUGCCAAAUUACACACAUUCACAUUUUCUUCCUGGCAAGUAGUUUAUCUUACAUGUAUGUGUAACAUCUCUCUCUCAGCCCAAUCAAUCUUAUAGGGUUGUUGCUGGGAGAGAGGGGAAGGAAGUUGGAAUAAUAAGCGUUGUAUAUAUUACAUUGAUUUGCUCAAAAUAGAAUAUAAAUAUAUAGAAAAUAGAAGUGUACCUCUUAUUUUGGGUAUCUUCUCAAAUAUAUUGAGACAUUGAUUCCGUAGUGCAACCACUACCGUAACACAGCUAGAUCUUUUCUUUCAGGUUCACAUGGAAGCUUUAAAACAGUGGUUCUCAACCUUUUUAAUGCCGCGACCCCCAACCGGUCAUAAGUCGAGGACUACUCAACUGGUGCAGCACCGUUUGCAGAAUGGGACUUUUGGCGGGCUCAGCAGGGCAGAGACAGCC